GUGUGCAUGAUCCUGCCUGGUGGUAGGUACAGACUUCAAAUCUGUAGACGGCUAACGCCGUAGUUGUUCGAUUCAACCUUGCGCAC
rfam:Fragilariopsis cylindrus CCMP1102 unplaced genomic scaffold FRACYscaffold_7, whole genome shotgun sequence.